AUUGAACGCUGGCGGCAUGCCUUACACAUGCGAGUCGAACGGUAACGCGGGGCAACCUGGCGACGAGUGGCGAACGGGUGAGUAAUAUAUCGGAACGUGCCCAGUAGUGGGGGAUAGCCCGGCGAAAGCCGGAUUAAUACCGCAUACGACCUAAGGGUGAAAGCGGGGGAUCGCAAGACCUCGCGCUAUUGGAGCGGCCGAUAUCAGAUUAGGUAGUUGGUGGGGUAAAGGCCUACCAAGCCUGCGAUCUGUAGCUGGUCUGAGAGGACGACCAGCCACACUGGGACUGAGACACGGCCCAGACUCCUACGGGAGGCAGCAGUGGGGAAUUUUGGACAAUGGGCGCAAGCCUGAUCCAGCCAUGCCGCGUGCGGGAAGAAGGCCUUCGGGUUGUAAACCGCUUUUGUCAGGGAAGAAACGCUCUGGGCUAAUACCCUGGGGUAAUGACGGUACCUGAAGAAUAAGCACCGGCUAACUACGUGCCAGCCGCCGCGGUAACAC
rnacentral:rRNA from 1 species